GUGUGAAGUGUGAACAGCUGACACAGCCAGCCUCUGUGACUGUGCAGCCAGGUCAACGUCUGACCAUCACCUGUCAGGUCUCUUAUUCUGUGAGCAGCUACUGGACAGCUUGGAUCAGACAGACUGCAGGGAAAGGACUGGAGUGGAUUGGAAGUGCAUCUUCUGGCUCUACAACACACCACAAAGAUUCACUCAAAAACAAGUUCAGCAUCUCCACAGAAUCUUCCAGCAAAACAGUGACUCUAAAUGGACAGAAUGUGCAGCCUGAAGACACUGCUGUGUAUUACUGUGCCAGAGACCCACAGUAA